rnacentral:rRNA from 1 species
UACGGGGGGGGCUAGCGUUGUUCGGAAUUACUGGGCGUGAAGCGCGCGUAGGCGGACCUGCAAGUCGGGGGUGAAAGCCCGAGGCUUAACCUCGGAACUGCCUUCGAUACUGCGGGUCUCGAGUCCGGGAGAGGUGAGUGGAAUUCCUAGUGUAGAGGUGAAAUUCGUAGAUAUUAGGAAGAACACCAGUGGCGAAGGCGGCUCACUGGCCCGGUACUGACGCUGAGGCGCGAAAGCGUGGGGAGCAAACAGG